AUCGUCAUCCGAGUGGAGGGACCAAGGGGAGAGGGCGGUUGGGAGGACUCCGCACGACCGGGAUCCGUCCAUGGGCGGUCGGCCCGACACAUGGUUGUAGGAACC
rnacentral:SRP_RNA from 1 species